UACGAAGGGGGCUAGCGUUGCUCGGAAUUACUGGGCGUAAAGGGAGCGUAGGCGGACAGCUAAGUCAGAGGUGAAAGCCCAGGGCUCAACCCUGGAAUUGCCUUUGAUACUGGCUGUCUUGAGUAUGGGAGAGGUGUGUGGAACUCCGAGUGUAGAGGUGAAAUUCGUAGAUAUUCGGAAGAACACCAGUGGCGAAGGCGACACACUGGCCCAUUACUGACGCUGAGGUGCGAAAGCGUGGGGAGCAAACAGG
rnacentral:rRNA from 1 species